rnacentral:rRNA from 1 species
AACGAACGCUGGCGGCAUGCCUAACACAUGCCAGUCGAACGAGACCUUCGGGUCUAGUGGCGCACGGGUGCGUAACGCGUGGGAACCUGCCCUUAGGUUCGGAAUAACUCCCCGAAAGGGGUGCUAAUACCGGAUAAUGUCUUCGGACCAAAGAUUUAUCGCCCUUGGAUGGGCCCGCGUUGGAUUAGCUAGUUGGUAGGGUAAAAGCCUACCAAGGCGACGAUCCAUAGCUGGUCUGAGAGGAUGAUCAGCCACACUGGGACUGAGACACGGCCCAGACUCCUACGGGAGGCAGCAGUGGGGAAUAUUGGACAAUGGGCGAAAGCCUGAUCCAGCAAUGCCGCGUGAGUGAUGAAGGCCUUAGGGUUGUAAAGCUCUUUUACCCGGGAUGAUAAUGACAGUACCGGGAGAAUAAGCUCCGGCUAACUCCGUG